rnacentral:rRNA from 1 species
AUGUACAAGUUGUACAAGAGCGAGCUGGACGCCAUCACGCCUGAGCAGGUGGAAUGGGAGCCGUAUGGAAAAGGAGUGAGUUUUGGUAACCCUAUAGAGUUCAGGCUUAAUCCGAUGUGCAUUAGGGAUAGGGAUCUCUGGCAUAUGCGGUGCCCACUGAUAUGCAACUGGGCGGUUGAGCUUCACCUGCCACAUCGGGUGUUCCGCCAGUUUGGUUUGUUCCAGUCACACCCGCCGGAGUGGGAGGACACGGACAAGUUGCUACAUGCGUUGGAUAGGAAAAAGCAGCGGAAGAUCAAGGAUUGGGCCAGCCAUCACAGGAAGUAUGUCGUGCAGUUCGCUCUUAGUGUGGAGCAAGCAAGGGCUGGAAAACGAGCCCAGCUUUGUGAGCACUGCCCGGAUGCGUUCAACAACUAUCUCACAUGGUUUCUUGCAAGUACCCGCGUGGAGGUAUGCCAGCCGGCGUAUGCUGAGGAGAUUCUGGAGGAACCCACCGUUUUUGAUGAGGUAGCCCAGCACCAGUACAACGCAUUAGUCAGGAAAGGCAACUCGGUCAUCCCUUCAGCUCCAAUGAUGAACUUUGUGGUUAGCCCUUUUUGCUUUUCCAUUCGCACUUUUCACAUCUUCGCUUGCCUAACACUUUGA